CUCUGCGCCGACACAGGACGAGGCUGUUAUCGUCGCUCUCUUUGGCACCGUCACCUCGGUGCUUAGGGAACAGCGGCCCCUGUUUGGGAGCCCGCUUGCUUCGCGUCGCGGACGUUUGUGUUUCACUCACACGACUUGUGUCUGUGAGGCUGCAAAGUCAGGAAGACGCCAGGGAACAGUCUUUUGUAUCCUGCCCUUACUAUCCUCUGCCUCUCCAUGUCGCAGGACACCAUGUACCGCCACCAUCUGUGGCACAUCGAGGACCCAACCUUGUCGGUGUCACAGGCCCGUCUAAAGCUGCUCUUCGACUUUGAUCCACCUUCGCAGUACCGGCUGCAGCCUAACGGGCCACUGCUGCACGGUAUCCGGCCCAGCUGCGUACUGUGCGGUAGUGUGAGUCCGCCAGGCGGUGGCGCCGCGGCAUCGGCUGCUGCACCCAUUACUAUCCGUCGGAUGGGCGUGUUCGGUCGCGUCGGCAGUGCCCCGGUGCAGUAUGAAGAGCCGCUCGUGACGGAGUGGGCGGAUGUUGGCCUCCCUCCGACCUCGACAAGGGAGGACGCUUGACUGCAGCGGCCCCUCUGGUGUGUGUAGGUGUGAUUUGUCCGCCAUAUCGCCUCUCGCCAUCUGUGCCGCCCUGCUCCGCAGAAAGCCGAUAUGCGUCUUGCCCACGCGCUGUGUUCUCUCUCCAUUUCCCCGCCCCCCACGACAGCGGGUCUUUUGCGCCCAACGCUCCUUUUGUUUUGGGGUUGCACGGGUGACGGAACCCUGUUGUGUGGGGUGACUGUCAGCUCUCACGUUGCAAUGGCCAAUAGCAGACGAGGCCACGCAGGUUCCCAAAGGAUAGACCGUAGACUCGGCAGCAAGCGUAGCCUUGGAAAAAAGAAAACUCUACUUCAGGUGGCCGCUCUGCGCUCCUUUGCCUGACUUAGGUGGAGGCUUGCCGUCCUCGAAGGGGAUGCUGCCAGAAUGACUCAGCGCGGCGUCCUGCAGCCAUGAGUGAGGCUCCUCUAGCAGAUGGUCGCUUCCUCUCUUCUCUAAUCUUCUCCCUUCCUCCGUCCUCUGCUCUAUGCCUGUAACCUCUCCCUCGCUCUUGCCCGUCUCCACCAAACGCUACCCUCCUUUUCGCUCUUCUCGCUCCCGACCCGCAAAG
rnacentral:misc_RNA from 1 species